rnacentral:tRNA from 1 species
GCAUCAAUAGCUCAGUGGUAGAGCGAGAGAUUGCAGAUCUCUAGGUCACGUGUUCGAUCCACGUUUGGUGCU